UGAAUCCAUAGGUUAAUGAGGCGAACCGGGGGAACUGAAACAUCUAAGUACCCCGAGGAAAAGAAAUCAACCGAGAUUCCCCCAGUAGCGGCGAGCGAACGGGGAGCAGCCCAGAGCCUGAAUCAGUGUGUGUGUUAGUGGAAGCGUCUGGAAAGGCGCGCGAUACAGGGUGACAGCCCCGUACACAAAAAUGCACAUGCUGUGAGCUCGAUGAGUAGGGCGGGACACGUGGUAUCCUGUCUGAAUAUGGGGGGACCAUCCUCCAAGGCUAAAUACUCCUGACUGACCGAUAGUGAACCAGUACCGUGAGGGAAAGGCGAAAAGAAC
rnacentral:rRNA from 1 species